AUUGAACGCUGGCGGCAUGCCUAACACAUGCAAGUCGAACGGGGCAGCAAUGCCUUGUGGUGGACGGGAGAGGAAUACGUAGGAAUCUGCCCUUAAUUGGGGGAUAACCAGGGGAAACCCUGACUAAUACCGCAUGAUCUCUUCGGAGCAAAGAGGGGGACCGCAAGGCCUCUCGCUUCUGGAUGAGCCUACGUCUGAUUGGCGAAUUGGUAGGGUAAAGGCCUACCAAGGCGACGAUCAGUAACUGGACUGAGGGGAUGAUCAGUCAGACCAGGAGAGGGACACGGUCCGGACUCGUACGGGAGGCAGAGGUGGGAAAAAGUGGACAGAAGGCGCAAGCAAGGUCCAGCAAUGCGGGGAGUGUGAAGAAGGCCUUCGGGUUGGAAAGCACUUUAGCCUGGAAAGAAAAAACUUUGGUUAACACCCAAAGUCGAGACGGUACCAAGAGAAUAAGCACCGACUAACUCUGUGCCUGCCACCGCAGGAACAC
rnacentral:rRNA from 1 species